CCAGAGAUAAAAUGUGAGACUGAAACUGUUUUAAAGAAGCAUACAAGAAAGAAGCACACACUUUAUUAGGGAGAUGUUGAUGAGAUGCUUACAACCCGCCCGCCACCCCCCAGCCCCAGCUAGGCCAUCUGGCAGGUACCGCCCGUGCGCCAGGCAUCGUUUUCAAAUUGCAAGACCGAAAUCCAAUCAACCGAAAUAAUUUCUUAGGAAGAUAAGCUUGCAACACGUGCAAUAAUGAAAAAAUUUAACUAGCAUUAAAAAUAUUCAGGAAUGUCGAGCAAUUACCACCUGGCCGCAGUCACAGGACAGAAGACGGAAUAAAUGGGCACGCACCAAAGGUUUAUAUUAAAGUGUAAGUUUCAGCCCCUCAGUAUAUUUAAGGGAGGCUGCUCUGCAGAGGAAACCUCUGCCUUCUCGGCGAGGGAGUUUCCGAGCUACCUUAACUGGGGCGCAACGCAGCCUUCCGCCACCAGAGGCAGCGGGCGUCUGCGGCCUGUCAAAAACUGGCGCUUUUUUCCUCCCCUUUCCGUGGAGAGACUAUCAACUCCAUCUGUCACAAAAAUUAAGGCUAAAUCUCCUCUCCAGAAGCAGAGGGAGCCGGGGCUCCGACGCGCUCAGCGUCGGGCUGUCUGCCUCUCCCUAGAGGCCAAGUGAAUUUGAAAUGGCAAAAGUCACAGCCGGAGGCCCAGCACUAGGAGAUUCCUCCGGCUGCGGGAAAUCUUCCUGUACCUGCUGAAGCUGCUGCGUUCCUCAGAGGCGCUUGGUCUGCCGUGGGAAGCUGCACCUCUGCAGUCCCCAAAACCAAAAUCAAACCUUAAAAGAGCCAGACUGAGAAGCCAGUCACCACGUAAGACAUCUGGACCACCUUCAGACUCGCAUGCUGUGAGGAAGCCCAUGCUUACUAUGUGUAGAGGAUACAUGGAGAAGGAAAGAGAUGCCUGGCCAGCUCCCUGCUGUUUCAGCCAUGUGAGUGAAGAAGGCACCAGACUUGUGAGUGGAGACACUAACUUGGAUGUCCAGCCCAGCUGAACCUUCAGGUGACUCCAGCUCUAGCUGCCAUCCUACUGAAGACACAUGAGAGAGACCCCAAGCCAGGGUCAAGAUCAGCGUGAAGCAAGUGAGGCAUUUUGGUGCAAAAUGUAAGGAGGCAUUGACCUUCAUAAUUGGGCUCCAAGACUCCAAGAGUGAGUGCCUCCUUAAAUUUUGUACUUUAGACACUACACUCACCUUUCUCUAGUUCUGGUCUUGCCUCAAGCAAGAAGAGCAGAGCUUAGCUCAGUCAACCCAAAGAAUCCUGAGAAAUAACAAAAAAAUAUUCUUUUAAGCCACUCAGUUUUGAGAUGGUUUGUUAUGCAACAAUAGAGCAUUAGAACUUU
rnacentral:lncRNA from 1 species